rnacentral:rRNA from 1 species
ACUUGAGCAAUGGGCUGGCCUUAGGGGCCCCUAGUAUGUUUAUCAUACUAACCCCAAAGGUUUUUUCUACUAUGUCUAUGAAUUGAUGUAUGAAAAAAAAGUUAUUUGUUAACUUGAAGGCUUCUGUAAAAAGAGUCUUUAAAAACAACUCUUGGCAAUGGAUCUCUUGGUUCUCGCAUCGAUGAAGAGCGUAGCAAAGUGCGAUAAUUAUUGCGACUUGCAUUCAUAGUGAAUCAUCGAGUUCUUGAACGCAUCUUGCGCCUAGUAGUCAAUCUACUAGGCACAGUUGUUUCAGUAUCUGCAUCCACCAAUCAACUUAACCUUUUGUGUUGAGUUGGAACUGGGCUUCUAGUUGAUGGCAUUUAGUUGCUGUCAUGGCCUUAAAUCAAUGUCCUAGGUGUUAGAACAUCUAACACCGGAUGGAAACUUUAGAGCGCUUUAAGAGCAGCUUGGUUAGUGAGUUCAAUAAUUCCAAGCAUUAAGUCUUUUAAUGAACUAGCUUUUCUAUCUAUGGGACA